rnacentral:tRNA from 1 species
GGACCUGUAGCUCAGUUAGGUAGAGCAGUGGACUUUUAAUCCGCGUGUCGGGGGUUCGAUUCCCCCCAGGUCCU